rnacentral:lncRNA from 1 species
UUUGCAAAGUUAAGGUUUGUUUAAGAUGACUUGGGUUUUAUGAAAUAAAAUAGGGUUUAUAUUUUGGGCGAUUUCAAGAGUUUUGUUAUAGAUCUAUGGGUGAAAUUUUGUGGAUUUAUGUUUAUAGUUGUGUUCAAUAUUUGUAGUGAAUUUAAGCUCGAUCUAACGGUUAAAUUGAAGGAUAUUGAGGUUUAAGUGGGUGAAGGUCUCAGAAAGUAG